rnacentral:sRNA from 1 species
UUAAUCGAAUAAGAUCUUGUCCAAAAAUGUUAUCUUUUUUGUUGUCCGUCGCUAUUUCUGUUUAGUUCGCCAAGAAUUUGUCAUUGUCUUUACGGUCUUUAUCAUUAAAUUAAUUAUAGUAUUAUAAUCUU